AUUUUAAUAGUUUAUGAAAAAUACCAAUUUGUGGCAUUGGAGAAGUAUAAUAAUACUUAAAGUA
rnacentral:tRNA from 1 species